rnacentral:rRNA from 1 species
AGUGAACGCUGGCGGUAGGCCUAACACAUGCAAGUCGAACGGCAGCACAGUAAGAGCUUGCUCUUACGGGUGGCGAGUGGCGGACGGGUGAGGAAUACAUCGGAAUCUACUUUUUCGUGGGGGAUAACGUAGGGAAACUUACGCUAAUACCGCAUACGACCUACGGGUGAAAGCAGGGGAUCUUCGGACCUUGCGCGAUUGAAUGAGCCGAUGUCGGAUUAGCUAGUUGGCGGGGUAAAGGCCCACCAAGGCGACGAUCCGUAGCUGGUCUGAGAGGAUGAGCGGCAGCAGUGGAAAUGAGAGACGGAGCAGACUCCUGAGGGAGGCAGAAGGGGGGAAGAGUGGAGAAUGGUGGCAAGUGUGAUCCAGCGAUAGCGAGUAGGUGAAGGAGGCCUUCGGGUUCGAAAGGCCUUUUGUGGGGAAAGAAAAGCAGCAGGGUAAUACCCCGGUGUUCUGACGGGACCCAAAGAAUAAGCACAGGCUAACUUCGUG